rnacentral:rRNA from 1 species
CCUACGGGAGGCUGCAUUGAGGAAUAUUGGUCCAUGGCCGGAAGGCUGAACCAGCCAAGCCGCGUAAGGGCGGAAGGCUCAGAGCGUCGCAGACCUCUUUUGCCGGGGGACAAAAGGCCGGACUCGGCCGGUCCUGCGGGUACCCGGCGAAAAAGCAUCGGCUAACUCCGUGCCAGCAGCCGCGGUAAUACGGAGGAUGCGAGCGUUAUCCGGAUUUAUUGGGUUUAAAGGGUGCGCAGGCGGCGAGUUAAGUCAGAGGUAAAAUUUCGGCGCUCAACCCCGACAAGCCGUUGAAACUGGCUUGCUAGAGUGGGCGAGACGUAUGCGGAAUGCGUGGUGUAGCGGUGAAAUGCAUAGAUAUCACGCAGAACUCCGAGUGCGAAGGCAGCAGACCGGCGCCCAACUGACGCUCAGGCACGAAAGCGUGGGUAUCGAACAGGAUUAGAUACCCCAGUAGUC